rnacentral:rRNA from 1 species
AUCGAACCCGGAGAUAGCUGGUUCUCCUCGAAAUAGCUUUAGGGCUAGCCUCAUACAAGUCUUGCGGAGGUAGAGCACUGAAUUCCUACGGGGGCGUCAAAGCUUACCAAGGGAUAUCAAACUCCGAAUGCCGUGUAGAUGAUGUAUGGGAGUCAGACUAUCCGAGAUAAGUUGGGUAGUCGAAAGGGAAAGAGCCCAGACCUGCAGCUAAGGCCCCAAAAUGUGUGUUAAGUGGAAAAGGAUGUGGGAUUUCGAAGACAACUAGGAUGUUGGCUUAGAAGCAGCCAUCCAUUAAAAGAGUGCGUAAUAGCUCACUAGUCGAGAGGUCCUGCGCCGAAAAUGUCCGGGGCUGAAACACACUACCGAAGCUUGGGAAUUGACGAAUGUUAAUUGGUAGAGGAGCAUUCUUAACGGGGCGAAGCUGUACCGGAAGGAGCAGUGGACUGUUAAGAAGAGAGAAUGCCGGAAUGAGUAGCGAGAGGAAGGUGAGAAUCCUUCCGGCCGAAUAUCUAAGGUUUCCAGAGUAAAGCUGAUCUGCUCUGGGUAAGUCGGGGCCUAAGGCGAGGUCGAAAGACGUAGUCGAUGGAUAACAGGUAAAGAUUCCUGUACUGUAUCAUAACAGAACUGUGGGGACGCAGACAGAGAGCAUAAGCCGGGAAUGGAAAGACCGGUACAAGCGAGGUAGGAGUGCAUCAGGCAAAUCCGGUGCACAAUCUGAAGACGUGAUGUGGGGCGUAAAGCCGGAAGUAUGUGAGCUGGCUGCCAAGAAAAGCCGCUAUUGUUUAUGAUAUACCCGUACCGUAAACCGACACAGGUGGAUGAGGAGAGAAUCCUAAGGCCGACGGGAGAAGCAUUGUUAAGGAACUCGGCAAAAUGACUCCGUAACUUCGGGAGAAGGAGUGCCAUGUAAAAGUGGCCGCAGAGAAUUGGCCCAAGCAACUGUUUAGCAAAAACACAGGUCUAUGCAAAACCGAAAGGUGAGGUAUAUGGGCUGACGCCUGCCCGGUGCUGGAAGGUUAAGGGGAGAGGUUAGCCGUAAGGCGAAGCUUUGAACUUAAGCCCCAGUAAACGGCGGCCGUAACUAUAACGGUCCUAAGGUAGCGAAAUUCCUUGUCGGGUAAGUUCCGACCCGCACGAAAGGCGUAAUGAUUUGAGCGCUGUCUCAACAAUGCACCCGGUGAAAUUGAAAUACCAGUGAAGAUGCUGGUUACCUGCGCCAGGACGGAAAGACCCCAUGGAGCUUUACUCUAGCUUGAUACUGGGAUUCGAUAUUGCAUGUACAGGAUAGGUGGGAGACUAGGAAGUGGUGACGCCAGUUGCCAUGGAGUCAAUGUUGGGAUACCACCCUUGCAGUAUUGGGUUUCUAACCAGCAGCCGUGAUCCGGCUGGGGGACAAUGUCAGGUGGGGAGUUUGACUGGGGCGGUCGCCUCCGAAAGGGUAUCGGAGGCGCUCAAAGGUUCCCUCAGAAUGGUUGGAAACCAUUCGAAGAGUGCAAAGGCAGAAGGGAGCUUGACUGCGACACCGACGGGUGGAGCAGGUACGAAAGUAGGACUUAGUGAUCCGGUGGUAUAAAGUGGGAUUGCCAUCGCUCAACGGAUAAAAGCUACCCUGGGGAUAACAGGCUUAUCACUCCCAAGAGUUCACAUCGACGGAGUGGUUUGGCACCUCGAUGUCGGCUCAUCGCAUCCUGGGGCUG